rnacentral:lncRNA from 1 species
UUGGUUCAUGUCAAAUUUUGGAAAUUUUUCGGAUGCAUUUGAUAUUUUUUAUUGAUUAAAUGCAAUUAUAGAUUUUUAUUAGAUAUAAAUGGAAUUUGAGCUAUAACUGCAUGAAAUAAUGGAAUAUUUUCGGUAGAAAACUAAUUUAACAAUUUUUUAGUGAUUUUGACACGAUUUUGAACAAGUAUAUUUGAAAAAGGCCACUAAAAUACGUUAUUUCAUGUAACGUUUGCCGAGUGUACCCAUAAAACACUCGGCAAACAUUGUAUUUUGCCGAGUGUUUUCUAUGUGCACUCGGCAAACAAGUUGCACGGGCCCACUUUCUUCGGCCUCGGUUGCAAAAAAAAAAACCCGAAUUAACUUUGCC